AAUAGAUACCCAGGUAGUCCACGCCGUAAACGAUGAGUGCUAAGUGUUAGAGGGUUUCCGCCCUUUAGUGCUGAAGUUAACGCAUUAAGCACUCCGCCUGGGGAGUACGGCCGCAAGGCUGAAACUCAAAGGAAUUGACGGGGGCCCGCACAAGCGGUGGAGCAUGUGGUUUAAUUCGAAGCAACGCGAAGAACCUUACCAGGUCUUGACAUCCUCUGACAACCCUAGAGAUAGGGCUUCUCCUUCGGGAGCAGAGUGACAAGUGGUGCAUGGUUGUCGUCAGCUCGUGUCGUGAGAUGUUGGGUUAAGUCCCGGCAACGAGCGCAACCCUUGAUCUUAGUUGCCAUCAUUCAGUUGGGCACUCUAAGGUGACUGCCGGUGACAAACCGGAGGAAGGUGGGGAUGACGUCAAAUCAUCAUGCCCCUUAUGACCUGGGCUACACACGUGCUACAAUGGACGGUACAAAGAGCUGCAAGACCGCGAGGUGGAGCUAAUCUCAUAAAACCGGUUCUCAGUUCGGAUUGU
rnacentral:rRNA from 1 species